CGUACUGCCCGGCUGUCCAGCGCAUCAGAGGCAGCUCUUCCAGAAACCAGAUCUGCCAAUCACGCCCUGUCGCCGUCACCACAAUGUAGGCGUUGUAUAAUUGUCCUGAUGCUGUGUCUGCACGUACUGCCUGGCUGUCCAGCGCAUCAGAGGCAGCUCUUCCAGAAACCAAAUCUGCAAAUCGCGCCCUGUGUCCGUGACCACAAUGCAGGUGUUGUCGUAAUCGUCCUGAUGCUGUAUCUGCACGUCCUGCAUGGCCGUCCAGCGCAUCAGAGGCAGCCCUUCCAGAAACCAAAUCUGCCAAUCACGCCCUGUCGCCGUCACCACAAUGUAGCUGUUGUCGUAGUCGUCCUGAUGCUGUAUCUGUACGUCCUGUACACCCGUCCAACGCAUCAGAAGUUGCAGUUCCAGAAACCAAAUCUGCCAAUCGCGCCCUGUUGCCAUCACCACAAUGUAGGCGUUGUAUAAUUGUCCUGAUGCUGUGUCUGCACGUACUGCCCGGCUGUCCAGCGCAUCAGAGGCAGCUCUUCCAGAAACCAAAUCUGCAAAUCGCGCCCUGUGUCCGUGACCACAAUGCAGGUGUUGUCGUAAUCGUCCUGAUGCUGUAUCUGCACGUCCUGCAUGGCCGUCCAGCGCAUCAGAGGCAGCCCUUCCAGAAACCAAGUCUGCCAAUCGCAUCCUGUUCCCAUCACGAGAUUGUAGGUGUUGUCGUAAUCGUCCUGAUACUGUAUCUGUACGUCAUGUACACCCGUCCAGCGCAUAUCAGAAGUAGCUGUUCCAGAAACCAAAUCUGCCAAUCGCGCCCUGUUGCCAUCACUACAAUGUAGGUGUUGUAAUCGUCCUGAUGCUGUGUC
rnacentral:lncRNA from 1 species